rnacentral:misc_RNA from 1 species
GAUGAAGAACGCAGCGAAAUGCGAUACUUGGUGUGAAUUGCAGAAUCCCGUGAACCAUCGAGUCUUUGAACGCAAGUUGCGCCCGAAGCCAUUAGGCCGAGGGCACGCCUGCCUGGGCGUCACACGUCGUUGCCCCCCCAUCUACUCCUUCGGGAUUGCGGGGGGCGGAUGAUGGCCUCCCGUGCGCCUCGUCGCGCGGUUGGCAUAAAUGCCAAGUCCUCGGCGACGCACGCCACGACAAUCGGUGGUUGCGAAACCUCGGUUGCCCGUCGUGUGCGGUCGUCGCGCAUCGAGGGCUCGAAAAAAUUGCCGGGCUCCGGCUCGGCUUUCAACGCGACCCCAGGUCAGGCGGGGUUACCCGCUGAAUUUAAGCAUAUUAAUAAGCGGAGGA